UCCAGAGUUUUGAUCAUGGCUCAGGAUGAACGCUGGCGGCGUGCUUAACACAUGCAAGUCGAACGGUGAACACGGAGCUUGCUCUGUGGGAUCAGUGGCGAACGGGUGAGUAACACGUGAGCAACCUGCCCCUGACUCUGGGAUAAGCGCUGGAAACGGCGUCUAAUACUGGAUAUGUGACGUGACCGCAUGGUCUGCGUUUGGAAAGAUUUUUCGGUUGGGGAUGGGCUCGCGGCCUAUCAGCUUGUUGGUGAGGUAAUGGCUCACCAAGGCGUCGACGGGUAGCCGGCCUGAGAGGGUGACCGGCCACACUGGGACUGAGACACGGCCCAGACUCCUACGGGAGGCAGCAGUGGGGAAUAUUGCACAAUGGGCGCAAGCCUGAUGCAGCAACGCCGCGUGAGGGAUGACGGCCUUCGGGUUGUAAACCUCUUUUAGCAGGGAAGAAGCGAAAGUGACGGUACCUGCAGAAAAAGCGCCGGCUAACUACGUGCCAGCAGCCGCGGUAAUACGUAGGGCGCAAGCGUUAUCCGGAAUUAUUGGGCGUAAAGAGCUCGUAGGCGGUUUGUCGCGUCUGCUGUGAAAUCCCGAGGCUCAACCUCGGGCCUGCAGUGGGUACGGGCAGACUAGAGUGCGGUAGGGGAGAUUGGAAUUCCUGGUGUAGCGGUGGAAUGCGCAGAUAUCAGGAGGAACACCGAUGGCGAAGGCAGAUCUCUGGGCCGUAACUGACGCUGAGGAGCGAAAGGGUGGGGAGCAAACAGGCUUAGAUACCCUGGUAGUCCACCCCGUAAACGUUGGGAACUAGUUGUGGGGUCCAUUCCACGGAUUCCGUGACGCAGCUAACGCAUUAAGUC
rnacentral:rRNA from 1 species